CUGCCGGGCUCACUGUCCUCAUUGCAGCUGACCGCAAUGCGGGACAGCGGGAUCUGCUCCGGGCGGUCCAGGGCAAGCCGGUGCCGCUCGUGUGGCCGAACGGCGGCCGUAGCGGCACGGCCGGGGAGAGUUGCGUCGACCAGGUCUUGUAAUGGUGGUCAACUGGUCUGAGCCAACCCCUCCUCCCACUUCCUCAUCCCGAGGUUCUUUGAUGUCAUUCUUCAGGGUUCACCCGCCUCCUGCGUUCAGCUCAUCGUCCAAUCUAGAGGAAUUGGCGCUAGAAAUGAACGAGUCUGAUGCAGGAAAGUUUUAUCUACACCUUACGCAGAUCUUGAGCUCGAUGGCUUGCCACCAUCACACCAUGAUCGGAAUGGUUGAGUUUGGAAUGUUUCAAAGUCUUCCUUUUACUGCUUCUUAAUAGUUAUGUUAAAUUGUGCUAUGUUUCUAUGAAAUACCCCUUCAGAUAGUAUGAUUAGCUUACUCUUCUAGGUUUUAGUGAUUCUGGCUUUUCUCAUUAUGGUGACU